UACGUAGGCAGCAAGCGUUGUUCGGAAUUACUGGGCGUAAAGGGCGCGUAGGCGGCCUUCUAAGUCGAACGUGAAAUCCCCGGGCUCAACCCGGGAACUGCGUCCGAUACUGGAAGGCUUGAAUCCGGGAGAGGGAUGCGGAAUUCCAGGUGUAGCGGUGAAAUGCGUAGAUAUCUGGAGGAACACCGGUGGCGAAGGCGGCAUCCUGGACCGGCAUUGACGCUGAGGCGCGAAAGCCAGGGGAGCAAACGGG
rnacentral:rRNA from 1 species